UCAAAUUGGUUGAAUAUAAUAAAAGCAACAACUGUUUUUGAAAAUGAGUACAAAGCUGAAAUGAUUUCUAGUUCCUAGGGAAACUGUGUUACUGCGUCGGUGGCAGAGAUGAAAACAAAAAUUUUAUCAAUGUAAUUCAACCUUUAUCAACUCGUUUGAUAAAACCAAAUUUUUGUUUGCAUCUCAAACAGCCUGACAAAACGGCUCCACCAUUGGCAAUUAAACUACAUAUGCAUAACCUUAUAAUUAAUGAAACCUAUCUUGGUUAUAACGAAUUGAUAAGUGAGAAGUCAAAUUUUAAGAAAUGAGAACAAGCCUGAAAUUUUAGGAUCAAAAUUUCACUUUGCUUUUUUCUGAUUGGUUGUUGUCUUACUUCAUAGAAAGCAAGACGUUUUUCAACAAUUUUCUGAUUGGUUUAUUUUAGAGAACUCUGAUAGGUUCCUCUGGAUCCAUAUAUCAAACACUUCAGUAUUUCCCUCCAACUUGUCAGAUACAAACAUUAAUGAAAGUAUUAUACUGGUAGCGUACAGGUUUUGUGCUUCAAAUAAUAAAGCACUUUAAAUAAAAAGAGAACUGAAAACUUUGUACAUAACAAGGGUUCAUUGGGCUAGAAGUGAAAGCAGCCGAGGAGAGACCAUGGACACAUCCAACUUUCAGACCUUCUCAAAGUCAAUUGAUUAUCUUCUCUGUGACUCUCUUUCUGGUGAGCUGACUUUCAAAACCAAAUUGAUUUGUAAUUUCUUGGUAUUUAAAUAAAUUACAUUUGUUGCGAAAUUUGUUGUGGUAUCUUUUUCUUGCAAUUUACCUGCAUAUGUAUUUGUUCAUGGCUGUUUCAUGUUCAAGUCUCUUUUAUUGAGGAUAUCUGUGAUCCCUAAUUUCGCCUUUAGUCUUAUUCUCUGUUAGUACAUGAUUUCAAAUUAAACGAGCUUUCAAUGAAAGGGUUCAACGUCUUACCAGAAAAAAACGUUGCAAUAACUUUGCUUUCCUGCGUCGGUUAAAUACUGUUUUGCCUCUUCUGUGAAGUUGAUAUCUCUGACGUCUAGCCAAUCUAGUUUACAAUUACUGUGCUUAAGUGCUUCAGCCAAAUCCUUCGCAGCGUUGUCGGUCAAUUUGUUAUUACUGAGGUAUAACGAUUCUAGUUUACAACUCCUGAGCUUAAGUGCUUCACCCAAAUCCUUCGCAGCGUUGUCGGUCAAGUUGUUACCACUGAGGUUUAACAAUUUUAGUUUACAAUUACUAUGCUUAAGUGCCUCACCCAAAUCCUUCGCUGCGUUGUCGGUCAAGUCGUUACAACUGAGGUUUAAACAUUUUAGUUUGCGUUCCCAGUUAACAAUAAAUUUUUUCACUUCGUUCCCACCCAAGUCUCCCAACGCAUUCGAGGACAAAUUGAUUUCCAAAACUUCUUGAGCAUUUUCUAAGAAACGUAAGACAGCAGCAACAUCAAUCGGUGUGAGUGAACAAAACCUUAAGUCAA